rnacentral:rRNA from 1 species
GACGAACGCUGGCGGCGUGCUUAACACAUGCAAGUCGAACGGUGAAGCGCCUUCCUUUUUGGUGGGUGUGGAUGAGUGGCGAACGGGUGAGUAACACGUGAGUAACCUGCCCCCUUCUUCUGGAUAACCGCAUGAAAGUGUGACUAAUACGGGAUAUUCUGGGUCUGUCGCAUGAUGGGUCUGGGAAAGAUAUUGUUUCGGUGGGGGAUGGGCUCGCGGCCUAUCAGCUUGUUGGUGGGGUGAUGGCCUACCAAGGCGGUGACGGGUAGCCGGCCUGAGAGGGUGGACGGUCACACUGGGACUGAGACACGGCCCAGACUCCUACGGGAGGCAGCAGUGGGGAAUAUUGCACAAUGGGCGCAAGCCUGAUGCAGCGACGCCGCGUGAGGGAUGGAGGCCUUCGGGUUGUGAACCUCUUUCGCCAGUGAAGCAGGCCUGCCUCGUUUGUGGGUGGGUGGACGGUAGCUGGAUAAGAAGCGCCGGCUAACUACGU